GACGAACGCUGGCGGCGUGCCUAAUACAUGCAAGUUGAGCGAUGAAGAUUGGUGCUUGCACCAAUUUGAAGAGCAGCGAACGGGUGAGUAACGCGUGGGGAAUCUGCCUUUGAGCGGGGGACAACAUUUGGAAACGAAUGCUAAUACCGCAUAACAACUUUAAACAUAAGUUUUAAGUUUGAAAGAUGCAAUUGCAUCACUCAAAGAUGAUCCCGCGUUGUAUUAGCUAGUUGGUGAGGUAAAGGCUCACCAAGGCGAUGAUACAUAGCCGACCUGAGAGGGUGGUCGGCCGCCUUGGGACUGUGACACGGCCCAAACUCCUACGGGAGGCAGCAGUAGGGAAUCUUCGGCCAUGGACGAAAGUCUGACCGAGCAACGCCGCGGGAGUGAAGAAGGUUUUCGGGUCGUAAAACUCUGUUGGUAGAGAAGAACGUUGGUGAGAGUGGAAAGCUCAUCAAGUGACGGUAACUACCCAGAAAGCGACGGCUAACUACGUG
rnacentral:rRNA from 1 species